rfam:TPA: Bos taurus chromosome 14, whole genome shotgun sequence.
UCCCUGAUAGCUCAGUUGGUAAAGAAUCUGCCUGCAAUGCAGGAGACCCUGGUUUGCUUCCUGGGUUGGGAA